ensembl:snRNA U6 U6 spliceosomal RNA
GUGACCGCUUCGGCAGCACAUAUACUAAAAUUGGAACAAUACAGAGAAGAUCAGCAUGGCCCCUGUGCAAGGAUGGCAGGCAAAUUCAUGAAGCGUUCCAUAUUUUA